GCCAGACUCCUACGGGAGGCAGCAGUGAGGAAUAUUGGUCAAUGGGCUUACGCCUGAACCAGCCAAGUCGCGUGAGGGAAGACUGCCCUAUGGGUUGUAAACCUCUUUUGUCAGGGAGCAAUUGGCGCUACGUGUAGCGUUAUCGAGAGUACCUGAAGAAAAAGCAUCGGCUAACUCCGUGCCAGCAGCCGCGGUAAUACGGAGGAUGCGAGCGUUAUCCGGAUUUAUUGGGUUUAAAGGGUGCGUAGGCGGAAUGCCAAGUCAGGGGUAAAAUCGCGGGGCUCAACCUCGCUCCGCCGUUGAAACUGGCAGUCUUGAGUGGGCGAGAAGUAUGCGGAAUGCGUGGUGUAGCGGUGAAAUGCAUAGAUAUCACGCAGAACUCCGAUUGCGAAGGCAGCAUACCGGCGCCCUACUGACGCUGAGGCACGAAAGCGUGGGUAUCGAACAGGAUUAGAUACCCCCGUACU
rnacentral:rRNA from 1 species